GACGAACGCUGGCGGCGUGCCUAAUACAUGCAAGUUGAGCGCUGAAGGUUGGUACUUGUACCAACUGGAUGAGCAGCGAACGGGUGAGUAACGCGUGGGGAAUCUGCCUUUGAGCGGGGGACAACAUUUGGAAACGAAUGCUAAUACCGCAUAAAAACUUUAAACACAAGUUUUAAGUUUGAAAGAUGCAAUUGCAUCACUCAAAGAUGAUCCCGCGUUGUAUUAGCUAGUUGGUGAGGUAAAGGCUCACCAAGGCGAUGAUACAUAGCCGACCUGAGAGGGUGAUCGGCCACAUUGGGACUGAGACACGGCCCAAACUCCUACGGGAGGCAGCAGUAGGGAAUCUUCGGCAAUGGACGAAAGUCUGACCGAGCAACGCCGCGUGAGUGGAGAAGGGUUUCGGAUCGUAAAACUCUGUUGGUAGAGAAGAACGUUGGUGAGAGUGGAAAGCUCAUCAAGUGACGGUAACUACCCAGAAAGGGACGGCUAACUACGUG
rnacentral:rRNA from 1 species